rnacentral:rRNA from 1 species
AGUGAACGCUGGCGGUAGGCCUAACACAUGCAAGUCGAACGGCAGCACAGUAAGAGCUUGCUCUUACGGGUGGCGAGUGGCGGACGGGUGAGGAAUACAUCGGAAUCUACUUUUUCGUGGGGAUAACGUAGGGAAACUUACGCUAAUACCGCAUACGACCUACGGGUGAAAGCAGGGGAUCUUCGGACCUUGCGCGAUUGAAUGAGCCGAUGUCGGAUUAGCUAGUUGGCGGGGUAAAGGCCCACCAAGGCGACGAUCCGUAGCUGGUCUGAGAGGAUGAUCAGCCACACUGGAACUGAGACACGGUCCAGACUCCUACGGGAGGCAGCAGUGGGGAAUAUUGGACAAUGGGCGCAAGCCUGAUCCAGCCAUACCGCGUGGGUGAAGAAGGCCUUCGGGUUGUAAAGCCCUUUUGUUGGGAAAGAAAAGCAGCAGGUUAAUACCCCGCUGUUCUGACGGUACCCAAGGAAUAAGCACCGGCUAACUUCGUG